UACAGAGGGGGCAAGCGUUAUUCGGAAUUAUUGGGCGUAAAGGGCGCGUAGGCGGCUUUGCAAGUGACGGGUGAAAUCCCUCGGCUUAACCGAGGAACUGCCUGUCAAACUGCAUGGCUUGAGACUGGGAGAGGUGAGUGGAAUUCCCAGUGUAGCGGUGAAAUGCGUAGAUAUUGGGAGGAACACCAGUGGCGAAGGCGGCUCACUGGACCGGUACUGACGCUGAUGCGCGAAAGCGUGGGGAGCAAACGGG
rnacentral:rRNA from 1 species